UACGGAAGGCAGCAGUGGGGAAUAUUGCACAAUGGGCGAAAGCCUGAUGCAGCUAUGCCGCGUGUAUGAAGAAGGCCUUAGGGUUGUAAAGUACUUUCAUCGGGGAGGAAAAACAAAACUAAUAAUUUUAAUUUCUUGACGUUACCCGAAAAAGAAGCACCGGCUAACUCCGUGCCAGCAGCCGCGGUAAUACGGAGGGUGCUAGCGUUAAUCAGAAUUACUGGGCGUAAAGAGCACGUAGGUGGUUUUUUUAAGUCAGAUGUGAAAUCCCUGGGCUUAACCUAGGAACUGCAUUUUGAAACUGAAAUACUAGAGUAUCGUAGAGGGAGGUAGAAUUCUAGGUGUAGCGGUGAAAUGCGUAGAUAUCUGGAGGAAUACCUGUGGCGAAAGCGGCCUCCUAAACGAAUACUGACACUGAGGUGCGAAAGCGUGGGGAGCAAACAGGGAUUAGAUACC
rnacentral:rRNA from 1 species